rnacentral:rRNA from 1 species
CAUUACCGAGUUUACAACUCCCAAACCCAAUGUGAACCAUACCAAACUGUUGCCUCGGCGGGGUCACGCCCCGGGUGCGUCGCAGCCCCGGAACCAGGCGCCCGCCGGAGGGACCAACCAAACUCUUUCUGUAGUCCCCUCGCGGACGUUAUUUCUUACAGCUCUGAGCAAAAAUUCAAAAUGAAUCAAAACUUUCAACAACGGAUCUCUUGGUUCUGGCAUCGAUGAAGAACGCAGCGAAAUGCGAUAAGUAAUGUGAAUUGCAGAAUUCAGUGAAUCAUCGAAUCUUUGAACGCACAUUGCGCCCGCCAGUAUUCUGGCGGGCAUGCCUGUCCGAGCGUCAUUUCAACCCUCGAACCCCUCCGGGGGGUCGGCGUUGGGGAUCGGGAACCCCUAAGACGGGAUCCCGGCCCCGAAAUACAGUGGCGGUCUCGCCGCAGCCUCUCCUGCGCAGUAGUUUGCACAACUCGCACCGGGAGCGCGGCGCGUCCACGUCCGUAAAACACCCAACUUCUGAAAUGUUGACCUCGGAUC